AUAAAGAAUCAAAAUACAUUUGAAAUUUUAGUAGGCAAAUAAUUGAGAAAACUUUGAUACAGUUGGGCUUACUUGGAUUAUGCAUAACAUCAUGACAAAAGCAGAAAUGGCAUAUAAGCAUGGUUUUAAAUCUGGACGAGGCUUUCCUGAUUUUGUUUUAUUUUACUUUAAAGCCACUCCGUCAGUCCUGAAUUAAUCAUAGUGUGCCCUUUUUGUUGGUGUAUGAAGCAGGAAUCAAAAUACUAUAGUAGACUUUACUACAUGUUUUGAAGGCUUUCAGAUAAGAGAAUUUGUUAUAUUAUGUUGGUGAGAUUGACAGAACUGAGCAUUUUUAUUGAGUAAAAAAAAAAGACUUAUUCUCUGCAUGUGUUUUCUGUUUGCUAGGAAGCUGUUAGAUAGAGGAGAAAAUUCUCUGUCAUCUUUUAUGAUAAAGAUUCGUUAUGUCAUAGGAUAAAAAAAAAUUAUGAGUGUCAUUUAACAGUUCUAUCAUAAACAAAGAAUAGAAAAUAAAAACAGCGAAAUACGUGUAUUAAUAUUGCACGUACAAAAUUGAAUAUUGCUCACAGAAUAAUUUGCGGUCAGACCCCCUUUGCAUAUUGCGCACACACACAUAGACGUAUUAUACAUACAUAUUAAAAAACAACAGUUCGCAAAGUUUCUUAUAAAUUUGACAAAAAAAUAUAAAGUGUAUUUUAUUUACAGGAAUAUAACUAAUAAUGCAUCCAGUUACAUUUGACUUUGACAUACUGUAAUAUAGGGUUAUUGCAUGAAUAUUAGGGAAUAUUGUCCCAAGUAGAAUUUUAUAUUGCACCAGUUUGUGAUUGCAAUAUAUGUUCUACGAGGGACAAUAUUCCCCAAAUGUAAUAUUCAUACAAUAACCCUUUUAUUGUAUAGCAAUAUAAUAUUUGAAAGUAAAAAUUGGAUUAAACUAAGAUUUUGUCGUUGAUGAUGUCAUUAAUAUUGAAGAUUUAUUACACUAGUGCAAUACAUUGAUAUCGGAAUUUUAUUGCACGCCAACUUUUGGUUAAUUUCUGUGGGAAAUAUUAUAUUGCUUGGCAAUAAUGUUCAAAUAUCAAGCAUUCAGGAAAAUUUUCAAAUUGUUAUAGAUAUCACAGAACAAUGCCUUUAUUAUUUGUUUGUUAAACUAGUUUAGGGAUCUUAAUUCUUUCCUGAAUGGUAAAAUUCUUUUAAAAGCAAUCAAAAUGAAAUAAUUAUACUGGUCUUCUCAACUCUUAAAAGAUGGAGCUUAUGUCAAAGCUGGGAAGUAAAUGAUGGAAGCAAACUAAUCAUCCAGAAAACCAACAAUUUUUUUGGUCCACCUCUCCUUG
rnacentral:lncRNA from 1 species